rnacentral:rRNA from 1 species
AUUGAACGCUGGCGGCAGGCCUAACACAUGCAAGUCGAGCGGAGAUGAGGUGCUUGCACCUUAUCUUAGCGGCGGACGGGUGAGUAAUGCUUAGGAAUCUGCCUAUUAGUGGGGGACAACAUUCCGAAAGGAAUGCUAAUACCGCAUACGUCCUACGGGAGAAAGCAGGGGAUCUUCGGACCUUGCGCUAAUAGAUGAGCCUAAGUCGGAUUAGCUAGUUGGUGGGGUAAAGGCCUACCAAGGCGACGAUCUGUAGCGGGUCUGAGAGGAUGAUCCGCCACACUGGGACUGAGACACGGCCCAGACUCCUACGGGAGGCAGCAGUGGGGAAUAUUGGACAAUGGGGGGAACCCUGAUCUAGCCAUGCCGCGUGUGUGAAGAAGGCCUUAUGGUUGUAAAGCACUUUAAGCGAGGAGGAGGCUACUGAGACUAAUACUCUUGGAUAGUGGACGUUACUCGCAGAAUAAGCACCGGCUAACUCUGUGCCAGCCGCCGCAGUAA